rnacentral:lncRNA from 1 species
AUUUUGAGUGUGUUUAAUAAUCACACUUGAUGUAUUUGUGUUUUUCUAUUGGUGUCAAUUGCCUGACAAAUUUCAAAAGAGAAAGAAAGAAAGAAAAACAGAAACCACAACACUGUCAUCGCUACAAGAAGGUAUAUCUUCACAUAUUACUAACAAAAGAAGUUCACCAACAGAAAUUUCCAGAGCAUAAAUCCAUGGAGAGAAGUGGAUGGCAGGUACAUAUGCCA